UCUCAAAAAAAAAAAAAAAUAACACACACAUUCGUGAAUCAGUCUUCAAUAAUCUUUGCUUGUGAGAUCUCCAUCUCAGAAGUCACUACUAAAAAGGUAAAAAAUAAAUUAAAUUGUCGGUGUUAGAAUGAUAUUACCUGCCGCUAAGAAGCAUAGAUCCCUGACAGGGAAACCAAGUAGCUGUGCCAAUCACACAUGCUAUGUACAGUCCAGGUUGUUAGGAAGGCCCUUCACGGAGACCGUCAAUGCUAUAGGAUCUUCACCUUGCCCAAAUCCCAACCACAACCCCAUCAGAAAGCCUCCCCCUCAUAUCCCCUGGAAAUAUUUGGGAGGAAUCUAAUUGUUUGUAGCAAUGAAUAUUGCUUAGUUGUAAAUUUAAUCUACAAAUUUAGAAGGAAAUAAAUCUGAACAUAAAAAGCAUUUGCUGUUUCAGCAUUAAAAAAAAAAAAUUACUGUCAUUUGAAACUGCAAACUCUCCCAUGUGGGUUUGUUUUGCAAGUCACGUCCUAACAAAGACAAGUUUUGUUGCCAUAAAACCCUAAAUCCUACCACAUCCUCAGAAGCAGGGGAAAAGUAUUGCUCACUGGUUCCGGGUUUGGGCUUUUAGGAUAAUACACAGAGUUAUGACUGCGCAGAGGGAAAUUGUUCGGUUUUUAUCCAGGGUUGUUGGUUCAGAUGAAACCCUGACACACACACACCUCCCAUCUAGAUCAUAUCAGUGCCUCACAUAAUUAUGCUCCUUACAUUUUAGGUCAGUAUCUGAAAGUCAUUUUGUGUUUUUAUUUUUUCCCUCAAAUGCUGUGAUAACUAGUAUCCUGAGGCCUGUUUUGCAGAAAAGUUAAAGUUGGAUCCCUGACUCGCUACAGACUAGGAUUUAGAUCUCUGACUCCAUGAUCUGACUUUUUCCAUAGGCAAGUUCAUUCUGACCUCAAUGAAAGAUAGGAACAGUUUUACCUCUGCCAAUAUCCCAUCUACCCUGUGAACGAUUUAAACACACACACACACACACACACACACACACACAACAACAACAACGAUUUCUGGCACCAGUGAUAUCUAAAAGCAGGUGUUCCUAGAAGGUAAAGAAAGGCAUAGCAACAGGAUCUUGUAGUAUCCUUAGAGAGGUCUGGUGAAGUUCAGGCCCCUCAGCAAGCCAGUGACUGAACUGGGACUUGAACCAGGCCACCAGACCCACAGUCCAGUGCUCAGUGACAUCUCACUGUACUCUCACUAUCUUUUCUCAUGAAAAUGAAAAGGCAGAUGCCACAAUUUCCUUUGCAUUCUCUCCAAAUGCUGCCUGUAUGUCUUGUUUCCUUGGCUCACAACAGAAGCCUUCCAGGGCUUGUGGUUUGCAGCUCAAGGCCUUCUUCACUUCCUCCUAAUCCUUAGGGACUGUUGGUCUGCAUGGCCUGGGAGAGAGUAGGGGCCUGUCGUGAUUCCUGCACAGGGAUUAAACACAAGUGGAGAGGGAGGGAGACACUAACUUGAGGGGUGGGAGGGGAUAGAGAAUGGAACUCGAAAGACCAGGAAUGGUGGACAGGGGAGAAUUAAAGAAGUAAGGAGCAGACUCGUGCCAGGGCUUGAGCAUGGAAGUGCCUGCUGGGGUGGAGAAGUCUAAAGGUGGCAGAUGCUAUCCAGUGUCUGAAGGGCUUCUUGGCUGGAAAGGUUAGUUUGGGAAUUCAUUUCUGGCAAGAGGCCAGAUCUUCUGGCAUACUAUUGCAGGAUGUAUCUGGGAGAAUUUUUGAAAUAACUGGACUUUUUACUUCAAUGUUAUUUUCACUCCAACUGGACUUUAUCUUCCUGCACAAUCCACACUAAGGUCUCCGCGAUCGAUAGGCUCUCAACCUGAGUCAUGUUUGGGAAGAGCAGGAGCGAGGAGGCACGCCGUGGAAUGAUUAUUACAAUGUGGCCACGCUCUGCUGAGCUCCGGCCUCCACUCCCACGCCUCUCUUUUUAAACAAGAAAGGUUACCUCCCUGGGCCACCAUUGGGCCAACCCCAAGUGUGACUGUCUGCACUUGUUAGACAACAGGCAUUUAAUUAAAAUUGGAAUCCGAUGUGUAGAAAACAUACAUUUUUUCAUUUCAUAGCUCCCCAGGAAGUCAUAUUCCCUUCCUUCCCCACUCUCCUCGACUCUCCCCCUGCCAAAAAAUUAAAAAAAAAAAAAAUUGCGAAGGAAAAGAUUAUUUUAAUGUGAAAAUCAAAAAUUACAAAGGGCUAGGCUGCUGCUUUAUUUUUUGCCUUUGGGGGAGACAUUAGCCAAUCAGAAAGCCUGUAUUGUGUCUUCAGACCAGGAGCCAGCUUUUUUAUGGCUAACUUCCCAUAUGGAAAAGGGUUUGUCCCAUUUCAGGGCAUUAAAAUACAGCGUUUAAUGAAUUUGCAACUGAAAACUUUUAUCUUGCUCUUAUGCGAUAGAAAGUGUGGCCUGUCUUCUGAUAUUUGUUGGACUUUGUGGAAUCAAUAAAUACAAAGAAACAGAUAAUAAACAUGAGGCCCGAGUGGAAAAAUAAAGCCGCGAAACCCCCUCGCCACUGCAUUUUCCGCAGCAGAGCCAUCUACUGCACUGUCUGGGCUCCACCCAGAAAAUCCGGCAGUGCCAUCAUGACCAAAUAGAUAGGAACUCUGGACAAUUUCAUUGGGUCAUUGUCCCCUUAAUCUCCACGCUGCACCUCAGAUCUCAAGCAGCUUCCGUGGCGCGGGCUCAAUUUAAUGGAUAGAAUCUAUUUUUCAUGAAAAAGCAGGAAAUAAGCUGUCUCUUUCAUAAAAAGAUUUACAAAAUGUAAUCAUUGUUGAAAUAUUCUCUUUGAACUGCCGUGUCCACGGGGGUCUCCGGCUCCCAGAGUCGUGCUUCAUUAGAACCCCGUCAUAAGCGGCUCCAGAAGGGCAGGUACGCUGGUGGUGCCCGGCUUUGAUGUCUUGAAUGAAUGAAAGAAAAGCACAAUAAAAAAGAGCUGUUGAUCAAGCAUAAAAUACUCUUUAAGCUGACAGAAUAGCAGCGUUAACACACCCUAAGCUGCUUUUAGUUUUUCCCUUUUUUCCUCACAUUUUCCUGUGCUUUGUGUACAGUGGGGGUUUGUAUUUUAUAAGAAGUCUCUGAUCUAUGUAGUAUGCCAUUCGCUAACAAAAACCAAAAUAGGAUUGUUUCUGUCCCACUUGGUUGCCUGACUACUCCCUCCCUUCCUCCCCUUUUCUCCUCACCCCCAACCUCCAAGGCGUGCAGUUUAGCCUUGCAACGCAAGGGCCCAAAUGCCUUUCAUAAACUUGAGCCAAUUCCUUUUGUGUUGUUGGUUUCGCCGCUCUGAUUUUAAUAUCGCAAUUAAAGACAGAUUUUUAUUUUCUCAAGAACUUUCUCUUGCAACUGGGGAAAUGGAAUUGACACAGCUGCUACUUUUAACUAAGAAAUUAUGUCAUUAAAUAAGAGAAAGCCACCUUGUAGAGCGAUUUGCUUUCCCGGGGACUUGAGGUCUCACAUGGACCCUAAGGCCCCAGAAACCUUUUACAGUGAGAGAACCCAGCUACUCUGUCUUCCUGGUUUUCUGUAGUAACCCCUAGCCAGGCUUUUAAUCCGCACAAAAACUGAUAAAGUUGUUACCUCCAUUUCCUGGAGUCUAAAACUGAGACCUAGUGAUGCUAACUUGCCUAAGGUAGUAUCUAACUAGUUCAUAAUGGUGCCAGGAUUUUUGUCAUUCGGACCCCAGAGUCCUGGCUCUUACAGCUGUGCACGCAGCUCUCUAGUAAGAUUUUGAAGCAAAUGCAGGUGGGCCAGAGUGCAAUGUUUAAUCCAGCAGUCUUUGAUUUCAUGAGGUAAACGGUUACUUGAUGAAAAAUGGAAAGGAAGGGAGACCAAAAGAAAAAUGUACUUGGUGGUAAGAGAGACACUAGGGCAAGCUGGAAUCUCGUGAAAGAUUCGGACUCUGGAUGAACAGUCAAAAUAAUUGGAUUCUGUAUGCACUCUCAAGGUUUGGAGGUACUGGAUGGCUUAUUGGGUAAAAAGAUUAGUGUUUUCCCGUCUUGAGGUUUGAACCAAAACGGAGGUCUUGGCUGGGAGCAGCACAGUCAUUCUCCAGGGAUCAGUGGUUUGGACAACUCCUCUGAGCUUGUAGUAAGUAGGCAGCAGUCCAUGUUACAAAACUAUUGCACAUGCUACUGACGCAGUUGGCCGCAGUUGGCCCCGUUGCAACAACUCUCCCAUCGAAACUGCCUGGAGUGGCUUGUGGAGACUUGUGUCCCUCGAGGGAGAGUGUCUGUCAUUUGGGGAGACAUGGUCAUGUGGCAUGAGCAUGCUAGAAGUCAUCCAUCCAGAUGCCUUGCUUUGCACUUGUUGGGGUGACUGACACCAGGCUUUGAGAACCUCGGAUACAGCUUGUUCUUCCUUCCCUCCUUUAUUUAUUUAACAGUAUUUAUUACAUGCCUACCCUGGCAUCCCUUAGAUAGCCAGCUUGCCUGGGAUGAAAACAGGUAAUUAAACUUUAGCAACUGUGACAGAGGAGAAUCCUGAGGGUAAAGGCCCCAAGAAGACCCCUCUGAAGAAGGAACAUCUCAUCUUAGAACCCAGGGACUAGCAAGCAUUAGCAAAGCCAAGGAGAGGGAAAGCCUGAGCCCUGGCCUGGCAGGGAGGAAGCAUUUGGCUUUGGGGGAUCUGGAAAAGUUUAAGGCAACACAAGUGUUGAGGACAAGUGGUGAAAAGAUAAGGCCACAAAGGUGCCUGGGGCCAGUCCCGGCCCAUUACUGUUUUAAUAGUUUUCUGUACAAUAAACAAGUCUUGGUUCGGAGUUACUGAAAACAGACUUUCUUUAAUUAAGAAAAUAAAAUCAGGCAAGAAAAAUGAUUACAGAGAUCAAAGCCUAAGGCUGGCAGUACCAGUAACUAACACCUGUGUACAGCAUGACCCCCUUUUCAGAAGAAACCAGUGUAAAUCACUGCUGCCUCUUACGAAUACAGAAUGGUCCUCACAAGACUCUUGAGGUUCCCAGGACAGGGACUGGCUUGCUUGAAGUCACACUGCUGGUCAGUGGAAAAGGCGACACCAAUCCUGAGUCCUUCGGACACUGGAUACUGGGCAUCGUUCAUUGCCAAAAGUUUACAAAAUCCUAUUGGGAGAAAAGCAGGCUCUCUGGUAUCCUUUAGGGUCUAGAAUCUAGCCCCUGCUUCCUGAUAGACAAGAAAGUCCUUCAGGACAGGGACUAUAUUUUACUCAUUAUAUCCACAGAGCCAGCGUACAUAGCACCUAGCACAUAGAAGGCCCUUAGUGCUUAUUGAAUGAGUGAAUAAAUGCUCCCAAAUGGUUUAUGCGAAUGUGAGAAACUUGCAGUCCGCUCAGAGGCCCCAUCCACUUCCAUCAUAUUGAGAUGGGGAGAAGAGACUACCCGGCUUUUGGCUGAUUUGCCAGGGACAACUCAUUUGGGCUCAACAGUAGACUUGAGUCCAUCCACACAAGUGCGGGAAGCCAAAAAUGACCCACUGGAGCAGUGUGACCCAGCAAAGCUAGCGCCUCCCCAGGAGAGAAUGCACAGCAGUGACAGCAGCUCCUGGAGUCUUGGCUUAUUGGUUGGCUGAGCCUCUUUGGGGGCUGAGGAGGAGCUGGGCCUGCAGGGUGCAGGGAGGCCAGCCUGUGUUUGCACGUUUCCGUUUUCUGCGUGUGAAUGUCCUCAAAUAACCCACCUUGCCUGCAGAAGAAAGCCAAGUGUCACACCCAGUGCUGGAUUCCACAUUAACAACCUCCUUCCGCAGUGUUCAACUUUGCCCUUGAGGCCUUUUGUUUAAGCUUUUAAUCUGAAAAACAGAUUCUGCUGCAUCACAGUCCUCUCUGCCCUCUCUGCCCCUGCCACCCUAGCACUCUCUGCUCCUUUUAGGGGGUAAAGUAAAAUAGAAAAUAGAAAACAUGUUUCUCAGACAUUUUUCUUUUUCCUCUAGAAUGUGCAUCCUGCCCUGUUAGUAAAAAGAGGAUGUAAAAAGCCUUUUAAAAUGUUGUUGCACACAUUGGAGCAUUUGUUGUUAACUCAGGGGUUGAGGCCAUGGUCCUCAUCAGCUGUGUCUUCGGCAGCCCCAUGACCACAUUUUGGAAGAUGGCCCGCGUGUUCUGAUUGCUCUCUGUGAGGCGUAAGAAAUGGAAGAGAUUGGCACCGUCAGAGGUACCUUCUGCCAUUUGAGGCUUCCUGUUUAGGAUGCAGUCGGAUAGAUAUUGUUUAUGGUUCAUAAAACCCGACUACUGUGAGUAUUCCAGAAUCCCAGCGGAAUGGGAUUCGAACUUUCAUGGAGCUGUAAAUUAACGGGCGGCAAGUGUGAUAAAACUCCUCAGAGAACUGUGAGGGGGAAAAAGUCGCGCUGCAAUCGUUAAAUGAAAUUUUAUAAGCACAUUCAGUGUGGAGCUGUUUUGCAUUACAUGAGUUGAAUACCUUAGAGACGCCACAUCUGCAGGCACUUUAUUAAAUCCUUAGUCAGCACUUUUCCAACCUGAUGAGAUUACUUCUUCAUUUGACUGGAGAAAAGGAAAGCUGAGCUCUUGUCCUGGACUGCAGAUUUCUUUUGAUGUUUCACCUUGAACACUGAAAGAGGACAGUCACCCCCCUUCCUUCCCCACUCCCGCUCAGCACAUCCCAAACUGUAGACAUUGUGAAUGUUACCAACUAAUUUUACGUAACUGGAGCCUUGGUGGGAGUGUGCAUUUAUGGACCUCCACAACAACUAUAGCUGAAAGUUCCUGAGGAAAAAAUAGAUCAAAGCUCUGUGUUUACUUCCUUAAUGUAAAUGUAUCAAGAUAACAUCAUCCUAUAUCGUAUUGUAAUAAUGCCACUCACUGCACAUAAGGGAGGGAGAUUCCUUUGUAGUCCAUUUGGAUACAGUAGAGUAGAUUAAGGGGCUAUAAAGUACGAAGGCAAAAACCAUAUGAAACCUAAGCUUAUGUCACUAAAUGUCUGAGGAUGGUCUUUGUUUAAUGUGUCAACAUUUUCCCAGUGAUUAGCUACUCAACCCCAACAAUCGAAUAAUCUCAGAUUUCUUUUAUGUUUUUCCUAUAUGACCCAGGAAGAAAAUAUGCAAAACCAUUCCUCAAUUAAUGUUCUAAAACUUGUACUGCUUGCAUAAUAGAAAUUAUAAGAAAAUAUCACAAGAGAAAAGUAGGCUUUUACAAACAUUAUAUUGUCCAUCUGGUGUUACUAGCAGCUCAUAGAAGUUUCUGGAAAUUGAUUGGCUUACACAUGUGUGACUGUCACACUCAUCCCAAUGGGAUUAUGAGUAUCUUUAACUACAAACUGAUUAGGAGAAAAUUCAGGGAGAUGUAUGAAUUGUGAUUAUUAUUAUUAUUAGAACUCUCUAUCUGCCAUCUCUGCAAAUAAGUGAUUUAAUCAGAGACUUCAAAAAAAAAAAAAAAA